CCUGUACUUGAUAAGAGAAUGAUGGAGUGACGAAAAAAGAUAGUUUUACCACUUAGUGGAUUGUGGGGUAAAUAAUUAGGAAGUUGUAUAGGCAAAUCCGYACAACAUUAAUUCUGAGUUAUGAUGCAUAGUGAAGGGGCGACCCAAGUAGCGAAUUAAAUGAUUCUAUGUUUCCAAGAAAAACUUCUAGUGUUAAUUUCUUACCAACCUGUACCGAGAACGGACACACGUCCCCAAGAUGAGUAUUCUAAGGCGAGCGAGAAAACCAAUGUUAAGGAACUCUGCAAAAUUACCCCGUAAGUUCGCAAGAAGGGGUGCCCAUUUAUGGGCCACAGUAAAAUAGGGGGGGCAACUGUUUAUCAAAAACACAGCUCUCUGCUAAGUUGCAAAACGAUGUAUAGAGGGUGAAGCCUGCCCAGUGCCCGAAGGUUAAGCGGAGAUGUUAG
rnacentral:rRNA from 2 species